AGAGGCAAGCAGGCACCCUGAGAAGAAUGCUGCUGCUGCCAAUGCUGGCCCUGGCUGAAGCCUGGUUGCAUCCAUUCCCCUCCCCGUGGAGGCUCCACUGGCAGCAGCAGCAGGAGGCUGUCCUGCGUACACCUGCGGGCAGCAGGCUGGCAGUGCUUGCUGUGUUUUCUCUCCUUCUGAUAGAUGGACAUGCACAAGUGCUGCUGCAACAGCAUCAACUAUCUGCUACCAGAGAGAGAUCCAAAACUGUGACUAUUGAGUGCAAAGUCGAGGGCAUAGCUGACUUCCAGGCUGCCUACAUCCACUGGUACCGACAAAUGCCUGCUGGAGUUCCUGAACGGCUUCUCUAUGUGACAGCAGUAGCGCAAGUUUCCUAUGAUUCGGAUUCCUACAAGAACAAAUAUUGGUCUUAUAAAAGUGAGAAUAAAAUCUGCACUCUCUCAGUACUAAACAUACGUGAUGAUGAUGAAGGUACCUACUACUGUGCCUACUGGGAGUCUCACCGAGGGAGCAGACUGCAGGCAGCCCUUACAGAAAGCUGGCUGCAACCUGAGCGGCACACUUUCUUUCAAGUGCUGAGAACCACAGCUGCCUUCCUGCCCCCAUCUCUCAGCCUUCAUGACAUCCCCACAGGCUAACACUGAGGAAGGAAAAUCCAGGAGGAUGUCCUAGUCAGUUAUGUAGCAAUCACAUUGACAACCCAGUGUCCUUGUGGCUAUUCUGUGCAGCCUGAGU